rnacentral:rRNA from 1 species
GGAGGGCAAGUCUGGUGCCAGCAGCCGCGGUAAUUCCAGCUCCAAUAGCGUAUAUUAAAGUUGUUGCAGUUAAAAAGCUCGUAGUUGAAUUUCGGGGUUAGUAGAUUGGUCGUGCCACUGGUAUGUACUGGUCUUACUGAUUCCUCCUUCCUGAUGAACCGUAAUGCCAUUAAUUUGGUGUUGCGGGGAGACUGGACUGUUACUUUGAAAAAAUUAGAGUGUUUAAAGCAGGCUAACGCUUGAAUACAUUAGCAUGGAAUAAUGAAAUAGGACGUUCGAUCCUAUUUUGUUGGUUUCUAGGAUUGACGUAAUGAUUAAUAGGGAUAGUUGGGGGCAUUAGUAUUCAAUUGUCAGAGGUGAAAUUCUUGGAUUUAUUGAAGACUAACUACUGCGAAAGCAUUUGCCAAGGAUGUUUUCAUUAAUCAAGAACGAAAGUUAGGGGAUCGAAGACGAUCAGAUACCGUCGUAGUCUUAACCAUAAACUAUGCCGACUAGGGAUCGGAUGAUGUUAUUUUUAAUGACUCAUUCGGCGCCUUUACGGGAAAC